ACAGAUUGAUUGACAUGGAUUUCUCUCUCCUUUCCUGUUUUGUCUGCCAGACAGCUAAGCUGGAUAUGGGAGAGCACAACAGAUUGGAAGAGGAUUUCUGUACAGUCUGUGUUGGCUCUGGACAGAUAGAAAAAAUUGAGGAAUCGAAACAAGUUGCACUGGGACUAAUAUGUUCAAAGAAGCAAGCUCUACACUGAGAGGCUAACAGAGGAGCAAGCCAAA